GACGAACGCUGGCGGCGUGCUUAACACAUGCAAGUCGAACGGAAAGGCCCAGCUUGCUGGGUGCUCGAGUGGCGAACGGGUGAGUAACACGUGGGUGAUCUGCCCCUAACUUCGGGAUAAGCUUGGGAAACUGGGUCUAAUACCGGAUAGGACAAUCGUUUAGUGUCGGUUGUGGAAAGUUUUUUCGGUUAGGGAUGAGCCCGCGGCCUAUCAGCUUGUUGGUGGGGUAAUGGCCUACCAAGGCGUCGACGGGUAGCCGGCCUGAGAGGGUGGACGGCCACAUUGGGACUGAGAUACGGCCCAGACUCCUACGGGAGGCAGAAGUGGGGAAUAUUGCACAAUGGGCGCAAGCCUGAUGCAGCGACGCCGCGUGGGGGAUGACGGCCUUCGGGUCGUAAACCUCUUUCGACAGGGACGAAGCUUUGGUGACGGUACCUGUAUAAGAAGCACCGGCUAACUACGUG
rnacentral:rRNA from 1 species